AACGAACGCUGGCGGCAGGCCUAACACAUGCAAGUCGAGCGCUUCCCUUCGGGGAAGGAGCGGCGGACGGGUUAGUAACGCGUGGGAACGUACCCUUUUCUAAGGAAUAGUCUCGGGAAACUGGGGGUAAUACCUUAUACGCCCUUCGGGGGAAAGAUUUAUCGGAGAAGGAUCGGCCCGCGUUAGAUUAGAUAGUUGGUGGGGUAAUGGCCUACCAAGUCUACGAUCUAUAGUUGAUUUGAGAGGAUGAUCAGCAACACUGGGACUGAGACACGGCCCAGACUCCUACGGGAGGCAGCAGUGGGGAAUCUUAGACAAUGGGCGCAAGCCUGAUCUAGCCAUGCCGCGUGGACGACGAAGGCCCUAGGGUUGUAAAGUCCUUUCGCUGGGGAAGAUAAUGACUGUACCCAGUAAAGAAGUCCCGGCUAACCCCGUGCCAGCAGCCGCGGUAAUACGGAGGGGACUAGCGUUGUUCGGAAUUACUGGGCGUAAAGCGCACGUAGGCGGAUCAGCAAGUUAGGGGUGAAAUCCCGAGGCUCAACCUCGGAACUGCCCUUAAAACUGUUGGUCUUGAGUUCGAGAGAGGUGAGUGGAAUUCCGAGUGUAGAGGUGAAAUUCGUAGAUAUUCGGAGGAACACCAGUGGCGAAGGCGGCUCACUGGCUCGAUACUGACGCUGAGGUGCGAAAGUGUGGGGAGCAAACAGG
rnacentral:rRNA from 1 species